rnacentral:rRNA from 1 species
GAUGAACGCUGGCGGCGUGCCUAAUACAUGCAAGUCGAGCGAACAGACGAGGAGCUUGCUCCUCUGACGUUAGCGGCGGACGGGUGAGUAACACGUGGAUAACCUACCUAUAAGACUGGGAUAACUUCGGGAAACCGGAGCUAAUACCGGAUAACAUGUUGAACCGCAUGGUUCAACAGUGAAAGACGGUCUUGCUGUCACUUAUAGAUGGAUCCGCGCCGCAUUAGCUAGUUGGUAAGGUAACGGCUUACCAAGGCAACGAUGCGUAGCCGACCUGAGAGGGUGAUCGGCCACCCUGGAACUGAACACGGGCCCAACCCCCAAGGGGGGGCGCGAGUGGGAAAUUUCACGAAAGGGGGGAAACCCUAACGGGCCAACGCCGCGGGGGGAAAGAGGGGUUUGGGAUGGAAAACCCUUUUUUUGGGGGAAAAAAAAAUGGGUAAGAAACCAUGCCGUUCUGAACGGUCCCAAAUCAAAAACCCCCGCUAAACUCCGU